GACGAACGCUGGCGGCGUGCUUAACACAUGCAAGUCGAACGGUAAGGCCCUUCGGGGUACACGAGUGGCGAACGGGUGAGUAACACGUGGGUGAUCUGCCCUGCACUUCGGGAUAAGCCUGGGAAACUGGGUCUAAUACCGGAUAGGACCACUGCCUGCAUGGGUGGUGGUGGAAAGCUUUUGCGGUGUGGGAUGGGCCCGCGGCCUAUCAGCUUGUUGGUGGGGUGAUGGCCUACCAAGGCGACGACGGGUAACCGGCCUGAGAGGGUGACCGGCCAGACUGAGACUGAGAUACGGCCCAGACUCCGACGGGAGGCAGCAGUGGGGAAUAAUGCACAAGGGGCGCAAGCCUGAUGCAGCGACGCCGCGUGAGGGAUGACGGCCUGCGGGUUGUAAACCUCUUUCAGCACCGACGAAGCGCAAGUGACGGUAGGUGCAGAAGAAGGACCGGCAAACUACGUGCCAGCAGCCGCCGUAA
rnacentral:rRNA from 1 species